rnacentral:rRNA from 1 species
UGGGGGAUAUUGCACAAUGGGCGAAAGCCUGAUGCGGCGACGCCGCGUGGGGGAUGAAGGCCUUCGGGUUGUAAACUUCUUUUGCUCUGAACAAGGCGCACCAUGGGGUGUGUUGAGUGUAGGGGUUGAUUAGCGCCGGCUAACUACGUGCCAGCAGCCGCGGUAAUACGUAGGGCGCGAGCGUUGUCCGGAAUUAUUGGGCGUAAAGGGCUUGUAGGUGGCUGGUUGCGUCUGUCGUGAAAGCUCAUGGCUUAACUGUGGGUUUGCGGUGGGUACGGGCUGGCUUGAGUGCAGUAGGGGAGGCUGGAAUUCCUGGUGUAGCGGUGGAAUGCGCAGAUAUCAGGAGGAAUACCGGUGGCGAAGGCGGGUCUCUGGGCUGUUACUGACACUGAGGAGCGAAAGCAUGGGGAGCGAACAGG